UGGGGAAUAUUGGACAAUGGGCGCAAGCCUGAUCCAGCCAUGCCGCGUGAGUGAUGAAGGCCCUAGGGUUGUAAAGCUCUUUCACCGGUGAAGAUAAUGACGGUAACCGGAGAAGAAGCCCCGGCUAACUUCGUGCCAGCAGCCGCGGUAAUACGAAGGGGGCUAGCGUUGUUCGGAUUUACUGGGCGUAAAGCGCACGUAGGCGGACUUUUAAGUCAGGGGUGAAAUCCCGGGGCUCAACCCCGGAACUGCCUUGGAUACUGGAAGUCUUGAGUAUGGUAGAGGUGAGUGGAAUUCCGAGUGUAGAGGUGAAAUUCGUAGAUAUUCGGAGGAACACCAGUGGCGAAGGCGGCUCACUGGACCAUUACUGACGCUGAGGUGCGAAAGCGUGGGGAGCAAACAGG
rnacentral:rRNA from 1 species